rnacentral:rRNA from 1 species
UACGUAGGGUGCGAGCGUUGUCCGGAUUCACUGGGCGUAAAGGGUGCGUAGGUGGUCGGGUAAGUCUGAGGCGAAAUCUCCGAGCUCAACUCGGAAACUGCCUUGGAUACUAUCCGGCUUGAGGGUUGGAGGGGGGACUGGAAUUCUCGGUGUAGCAGUGAAAUGCGUAGAUAUCGAGAGGAACACCAGUGGCGAAGGCGAGUCCCUGGACAACUCCUGACGCUGAGGCACGAAAGCUAGGGGAGCAAACAGG